rnacentral:rRNA from 1 species
UAUCAAAGGUGAGCCAGUACAGGAUGGACCCGCGUCUGAUUAGCUAGUUGGUAAGGUAACGGCUUACCAAGGCGACGAUCAGUAGCCGACCUGAGAGGGUGAUCGGCCACAUUGGAACUGAGACACGGUCCAAACGCCUACGGGAGGCAGCAGUGGGGAAUAUUGCACAAUGGGCGAAAGCCUGAUGCAGCAACGCCGCGUGAGUGAUGAAGGCCUUCGGGUCGUAAAACUCUGUCCUCAAGGAAGAUAAUGACGGUACUUGA